AUCCAGACUCCUACGGGAGGCAGCAGUGGGGGAUAUUGCACAAUGGGGGGAACCCUGAUGCAGCGACGCCGCGUGGGUGAAGAAGCGCCUAGGCGCGUAAAGCCCUGUCAGCAGGGAAGAAAAUGACGGUACCUGAAGAAGAAGCCCCGGCUAACUACGUGCCAGCAGCCGCGGUAAUACGUAGGGGGCAAGCGUUAUCCGGAUUUACUGGGUGUAAAGGGGGCGCAGACGGCGAUGCAAGCCAGGAGUGAAAGCCCGGGGCCCAACCCCGGGACUGCUCUUGGAACUGCGUGGCUGGAGUGCAGGAGGGGCAGGCGGAAUUCCUGGUGUAGCGGUGAAAUGCAUAGAUAUCAGGAGGAACACCGGCGGCGAAGGCGGCCUGCUGGACCGUGACUGACGUUGAGGCUCGAGAGCGUGGGGAGCACACAGGAUUAGAUACCCUCGUAC
rnacentral:rRNA from 1 species